AGCUCUCCCUCAUCAAGCCUCUAUCCCAUCUUCUUCAAGGUUUUCCUCUUCUCCAAGGGUUCCAUCAUCUUGACCUUGGCCGAAAUUUUCAUCUCCUCACAAGCUAGGGUUUGAGAUUUUCUUCCUCUUCAAGCUUCAGAACUUGGGUUUCCGAUGCCUCCACGCCGAUCUCGACUUCCUAGGAGUCGAUCCCAUUCGCAGCCUAGCGAGGAAGAAGUUCCCGCAGCAUCCUCCCCUCCAGCAGUUUCCUUUUUUGGGGUCGAGUUCCCCGCGGGCAGCCUUCCUCCUCAUGCUAA